CAACGCGUUCACAAGCUCGCUCUACGCCAACGCCGCAAAUUUGAGAGAGAGAUCUAGAGAGAUGAGAGAGAUAUUUAGAGAGAGAAAGGGAGGGUUUCUCUCUCCCUCUCCAUACGUGUGUGUGUGUGUGUGUGUGUGUGUGUGUGUGUGUGUGUGUGUGUGUGUGUUGUGGGUGUUGGUGUUGGCUGUGAAGAAGAAGCCAAGUAGCUUCUAUUUAUAGUCAACACCCCAAAAACACUAUUCAUAUUAGCAGUUUAGCAGCUCAGAAUCUGAUACUUUUCGCCGGAGCCCUUCUGAAUGUCCGUUUGGUCUCAAAUUUGACAGCCAGGCUUGGUUUUCCUUACUAAGAAAAAAUAUAUCUUAAGUUUUCAGUUUCGACCAUUUUUUAUCACCGAAAGCUCUACCGACAAAAAGUCUCUAGCAGAUAGCAGUCGGAUUUUAUAUUUCACUUUUUGGAUGUCAGAAUGACAUUAAACUUUAAAUCUAGCCUCAUAAAAAUAAUUCCGACAUGUUUCUAGAUUUUCAUAAUUUUUUGACACUGUGCAUUUUCUGCUAAAAUAUCAAUCCCCUUUUUUACAGAAAAUUCUAAAUCUCCUGUUUCCAUUCCGGUUUCAGCACGAGUCAUUCCAGACUUAUAUUUUAUUUCUUUAAGUCCAAUAAAAAUAGUAUCUCACACUAUUUUUAUUUACACUUAAUUUUGUAUUAAAAUCUGGUAUAUUAUAGUAGCGAUACCCACUGAGGACUACUUAUUUUUGCAGUAGUUCUCACACCCAGUUAUUGACUUCUUUUUGCAAAGCCUUCGUCCGCAGUUGCUGC
rnacentral:lncRNA from 1 species